AGUCGAACGCGUUGGCCAACUGAUUGAACGUGCUUGCACGGACUUGACGUUGGUUUACCAGCGAGUGGCGGACGGGUGAGUAACACGUAGGUAACCUGCCCCAAAGCGGGGGAUAACAUUUGGAAACAGAUGCUAAUACCGCAUAACAAUUUGAAUCGCAUGAUUCAAAUUUAAAAGAUGGCUUCGGCUAUCACUUUGGGAUGGACCUGCGGCGCAUUAGCUUGUUGGUAGGGUAACGGCCUACCAAGGCUGUGAUGCGUAGCCGAGUUGAGAGACUGAUCGGCCACAAUGGAACUGAGACACGGUCCAUACUCCUACGGGAGGCAGCAGUAGGGAAUCUUCCACAAUGGGCGCAAGCCUGAUGGAGCAACACCGCGUGAGUGAAGAAGGGUUUCGGCUCGUAAAGCUCUGUUGUUAGAGAAGAACGUGCGUGAGAGCAACUGUUCACGCAGUGACGGUAUCUAACCAGAAAGUCACGGCUAACUACGUGCCAGCAGCCGCGGUAAUACGUAGGUGGCAAGCGUUAUCCGGAU
rnacentral:rRNA from 1 species